GCGGAUGUGGCGGAAUCGGUAGACGCGCUAGUUUCAGGUACUAGUGGCAGCAAUGUCAUGGGAGUUCAAGUCUCCCCAUCCGCA
rnacentral:tRNA from 3 species